rnacentral:lncRNA from 1 species
GAACAUUAUUCUUGGAGUGUGCUUGUCAUCAACCUUGCUUCAUAGCUAGUAGCGAGGAGCCUAUAUAUUCUCUAGUUUGAAGAUCAUUAAGAUAAUGUUGCAUAAAAAGAUGGAAGAUGAAUAUUUCACCAAUAAUUUGCUAGUGUGGAUAAAGGAGAAACCCAGAGAUAAUUUAUUUUCUAAAAAUGAUUUAUAUGGCUAAAUAAUGCUAUAUAUAUAUAUAUAUAUAUUUCCUAUCUGAAAUCUGGAUAAAAUUAGUGCAUAACUCUGCGCCCCCCCC